ACGCAUCAUCAAAUAGUAGAGAUUUUGAACGACUGCUAGUUGGCAAUAAUAAGCCAUUUCUUAUGGUGAAGAGGUGGAGCGAUCUUAUUUUACAGGUCCGUAAACAGAUGCGGUUGACGGGUCGAGCCAUGUCCUUUGGUCACUUGCCGUGCCUCCUCGUCAUGUUCGGAACCCUGUGCUUGUCUCUCUUUAUGGGGGCCAUGAUGAACUUUUUUCGGGCUGGGUCUCCGAUUCCAGCUGUGACAGAGUUGACCAACAAGGCAACCAUGCUCUGCUGGAUUUGGGGAGUCAAGUUAAUCGUGAAGGCCAGGAUUGCUGAGACAAUUACGAAAUUGGAGCGAGAAAUUUGCAAGGAGCUACGAUUGAUGAAAAACUUCAGUCAUGACAAAAUGGCUCGGCUGGAGGCAUGCAUUUACUUAAUACACAUACCUUCAUAGUCUACAUGAAUAUGUACAUUCAUAUGCAAUAUCAAAUUGUAGAUGAGCAUCCUUAUAAAUUUUUUGGACCGCGAUCCUGGCAAAAUUGAUUUCGGAGGAAUUUUGACUUUAAACUCUGCUCUCAUGUUAAGCAUCACUGGACAAGUAGCAACCUACCUCGUCGUCCUAUUUCAGUUUUACAACAUGGAUUCAACAGCCCCAUGAAUACACAAUCCAUAAGUUAGAGCUGCUGCAUGAGCCAGCUACAGAAAUACAAAUGUAAUAAAUUUCUCAAUUACACUUGCAUGA